UACGGAGGAUGCAAGCGUUAUCCGGAAUUAUUGGGCGUAAAGCGUCCGCAGGUGGCACUUCAAGUCUGCUGUCAAAGACCGGGGCUUAACCCUGGAGAGGCAGUGGAAACUGAAGCGCUAGAGUGUCGUAGGGGUAGAGGGAAUUCCUGGUGUAGCGGUGGAAUGCGCAGAUAUCAGGAGGAACACCGAUGGCGAAGGCAGAUCUCUGGGCCGUAACUGACGCUGAGGAGCGAAAGCAUGGGGAGCGAACAGG
rnacentral:rRNA from 1 species